AGAGUUUGAUUCUGGCUCAGGAUGAACGCUAGCGGCAGGCCUAAUACAUGCAAGUCGAACGGGAUGGUCGCCUUCGGGCGGCCUGAGAGUGGCGCACGGGUGCGCAACGCGUAUGCAACCAACCCCCGACAGGCGGAUAGCCGGUGGAAACGCCGGAUAAUACGCCAUGGUUCCGGUGGAGGGCAUCCUCUACUGGAUAAAGCUACGGCGGUCGGGGACGGGCAUGCGUCCCAUUAGAUGGUAGGCGGGGUGACGGCCCACCUAGUCCGCGAUGGUAGGGGAUCUGAGAGGACGGUCCCCCACACUGGUACUGAGACACGGACCAGACUCCUGCGGGAGGCAGCAGUAAGGGAUAUUGGUCAAUGGGGGCAACCCUGAACCAGCCAUGCCCGCGUGAGGGAAUGAGGCCCUACGGGUCGUGAACCUCUUUUAUUCGGGGACAAGGACUGGGUCGCGAACCUAGUUUGAGGGUACCGAAGGAAUAAGCAUCGGCUAACUCCGUGCCAGCAGCAGC
rnacentral:rRNA from 1 species